GGAUGUGAGGGCAAUCUGGAUGCGACAUCUGUCACCCUACUGAUCGCCAGAGUUGAUUUGGGAGGGAAGUGUCCCCUUCCUCCCUCACUGCUCCAUGUGCAUCCCUCUCAAAGCUGCGUGCUUAGUUGGAGAGGAUGACCACCCCUGAUGGAGGAGGACCGUUUCCUAGGACAAGGGUAUCCGACUAGCUGCACUCCCCUGCUAGAGCUCCAAACAAGCUCUCAAGCAAACAUUGUUUUAUUUCACUUAAUGCACGUGACUUGAUCUGAUGAUACGCCAGAAUAAAUGUUCCAUGACUUAACAAAAUGAAGCAGCAUGGAGGCUGCUUAAUCUAU
rnacentral:snRNA from 1 species